UCGCCUACGGGAGGCAGCAGUGAGGAAUAUUGGUCAAUGGCCGGAAGGCUGAACCAGCCAAGCCGCGUGAAGGACGAAGGUGCCAAGCAUUGUAAACUUCUUUUGUCAAGGGACAAAAUCAGGCUCGAGAGCCUGACCGAGGGUACUUGAAGAAAAAGCAUCGGCUAACUCCGUGCCAGCAGCCGCGGUAAUACGUAGGGAGCGAGCGUUGUCCGGAAUUACUGGGUGUAAAGGGAGCGUAGGCGGGCGAGAAAGUUGAAUGUUAAAUCUACCGGCUUAACUGGUAGCUGCGUUCAAAACUUCUU
rnacentral:rRNA from 1 species